GGGUCAGUAGGUUGGUCGUGCCACCGGUACGUACUGGUCUCACUGAUUCCUCCUUCCUGAAGAACCGUAAUGCCAUUAAUUUGGUGUUGCGGGGUAACAGGACUGUUACUUGGAAAAAAUUAGAGUGUUUAAAGCAAGCUAACGCUUGAAUACAUUAGCAUGGAAUAAUGAAAUAGGACGAUCGAUCCUAUUUUGUUGGUUUCUAGGAUUGACGUA
rnacentral:rRNA from 1 species